UUAAGCGACUAAGCGUACACGGUGGAUGCCCUGGCAGUCAGAGGCGAUGAAGGACGUGCUAAUCUGCGAUAAGCGUCGGUAAGGUGAUAUGAACCGUUAUAACCGGCGAUUUCCGAAUGGGGAAACCCAGUGUGUUUCGACACACUAUCAUUAACUGAAUCCAUAGGUUAAUGAGGCGAACCGGGGGAACUGAAACAUCUAAGUACCCCGAGGAAAAGAAAUCAACCGAGAUUCCCCCAGUAGCGGCGAGCGAACGGGGAGCAGCCCAGAGCCUGAAUCAGUGUGUGUGUUAGUGGAAGCGUCUGGAAAGGCGCGCGAUACAGGGUGACAGCCCCGUACACAAAAAUGCACAUGCUGUGAGCUCGAUGAGUAGGGCGGGACACGUGGUAUCCUGUCUGAAUAUGGGGGGACCAUCCUCCAAGGCUAAAUACUCCUGACUGACCGAUAGUGAACCAGUACCGUGAGGGAAAGGCGAAAAGAACCCCGGCGAGGGGAGUGAAAAAGAACCUGAAACCGUGUACGUACAAGCAGUGGGAGCACGCUUCGGCGUGUGACUGCGUACCUUUUGUAUAAUGGGUCAGCGACUUAUAUUCUGUAGCAAGGUUAACCGAAUAGGGGAGCCGAAGGGAAACCGAGUCUUAACUGGGCGUUAAGUUGCAGGGUAUAGACCCGAAACCCGGUGAUCUAGCCAUGGGCAGGUUGAAGGUUGGGUAACACUAACUGGAGGACCGAACCGACUAAUGUUGAAAAAUUAGCGGAUGACUUGUGGCUGGGGGUGAAAGGCCAAUCAAACCGGGAGAUAGCUGGUUCUCCCCGAAAGCUAUUUAGGUAGCGCCUCGUGAAUUCAUCUCCGGGGGUAGAGCACUGUUUCGGCAAGGGGGUCAUCCCGACUUACCAACCCGAUGCAAACUGCGAAUACCGGAGAAUGUUAUCACGGGAGACACACGGCGGGUGCUAACGUCCGUCGUGAAGAGGGAAACAACCCAGACCGCCAGCUAAGGUCCCAAAGUCAUGGUUAAGUGGGAAACGAUGUGGGAAGGCCCAGACAGCCAGGAUGUUGGCUUAGAAGCAGCCAUCAUUUAAAGAAAGCGUAAUAGCUCACUGGUCGAGUCGGCCUGCGCGGAAGAUGUAACGGGGCUAAACCAUGCACCGAAGCUGCGGCAGCGACGCUUAUGCGUUGUUGGGUAGGGGAGCGUUCUGUAAGCCUGUGAAGGUGUGCUGUGAGGCAUGCUGGAGGUAUCAGAAGUGCGAAUGCUGACAUAAGUAACGAUAAAGCGGGUGAAAAGCCCGCUCGCCGGAAGACCAAGGGUUCCUGUCCAACGUUAAUCGGGGCAGGGUGAGUCGACCCCUAAGGCGAGGCCGAAAGGCGUAGUCGAUGGGAAACAGGUUAAUAUUCCUGUACUUGGUGUUACUGCGAAGGGGGGACGGAGAAGGCUAUGUUGGCCGGGCGACGGUUGUCCCGGUUUAAGCGUGUAGGCUGGUUUUCCAGGCAAAUCCGGAAAAUCAAGGCUGAGGCGUGAUGACGAGGCACUACGGUGCUGAAGCAACAAAUGCCCUGCUUCCAGGAAAAGCCUCUAAGCAUCAGGUAACAUCAAAUCGUACCCCAAACCGACACAGGUGGUCAGGUAGAGAAUACCAAGGCGCUUGAGAGAACUCGGGUGAAGGAACUAGGCAAAAUGGUGCCGUAACUUCGGGAGAAGGCACGCUGAUAUGUAGGUGAAGCGACUUGCUCGUGGAGCUGAAAUCAGUCGAAGAUACCAGCUGGCUGCAACUGUUUAUUAAAAACACAGCACUGUGCAAACACGAAAGUGGACGUAUACGGUGUGACGCCUGCCCGGUGCCGGAAGGUUAAUUGAUGGGGUUAGCGGUAACGCGAAGCUCUUGAUCGAAGCCCCGGUAAACGGCGGCCGUAACUAUAACGGUCCUAAGGUAGCGAAAUUCCUUGUCGGGUAAGUUCCGACCUGCACGAAUGGCGUAAUGAUGGCCAGGCUGUCUCCACCCGAGACUCAGUGAAAUUGAACUCGCUGUGAAGAUGCAGUGUACCCGCGGCAAGACGGAAAGACCCCGUGAACCUUUACUAUAGCUUGACACUGAACAUUGAGCCUUGAUGUGUAGGAUAGGUGGGAGGCUUUGAAGUGUGGACGCCAGUCUGCAUGGAGCCGACCUUGAAAUACCACCCUUUAAUGUUUGAUGUUCUAACGUUGACCCGUAAUCCGGGUUGCGGACAGUGUCUGGUGGGUAGUUUGACUGGGGCGGUCUCCUCCUAAAGAGUAACGGAGGAGCACGAAGGUUGGCUAAUCCUGGUCGGACAUCAGGAGGUUAGUGCAAUGGCAUAAGCCAGCUUGACUGCGAGCGUGACGGCGCGAGCAGGUGCGAAAGCAGGUCAUAGUGAUCCGGUGGUUCUGAAUGGAAGGGCCAUCGCUCAACGGAUAAAAGGUACUCCGGGGAUAACAGGCUGAUACCGCCCAAGAGUUCAUAUCGACGGCGGUGUUUGGCACCUCGAUGUCGGCUCAUCACAUCCUGGGGCUGAAGUAGGUCCCAAGGGUAUGGCUGUUCGCCAUUUAAAGUGGUACGCGAGCUGGGUUUAGAACGUCGUGAGACAGUUCGGUCCCUAUCUGCCGUGGGCGCUGGAGAACUGAGGGGGGCUGCUCCUAGUACGAGAGGACCGGAGUGGACGCAUCACUGGUGUUCGGGUUGUCAUGCCAAUGGCACUGCCCGGUAGCUAAAUGCGGAAGAGAUAAGUGCUGAAAGCAUCUAAGCACGAAACUUGCCCCGAGAUGAGUUCUCCCUGACUCCUUGAGAGUCCUGAAGGAACGUUGAAGACGACGACGUUGAUAGGCCGGGUGUGUAAGCGCAGCGAUGCGUUGAGCUAACCGGUACUAAUGAACCGUGAGGCUUAACCUU
rnacentral:rRNA from 1 species